AUCUGGGAAUUUUAUUAAAGACACGGAGGCUCCUAUUAUUCAAGUUCAAAGCUUAGAAACCACCUGAGAUGCAAAAUGAUCGAUCGGCCUGAAAUAGAAAUCACGAAAAGUCGAUUCCCAUGACCAAUCAGCCGCUCGUAAGAUAUCUUCCAAGCGACAACCAAGCAUAGAGACUCUAGAAGCUAUAGCCCCGCGGACUGAAUGGGGAGUGAAGAUAAACGUGUUAAUUCCAGCCAACAAAACCAUCGAAGCCGACUUCAUCCUUCUGGAAAUGUUAAAGGAGAUGCCCCCCAAGGUAAAUGUAA